UGGGAACGACCCGGACUUUAUCCCUCUGAGCCCGUCUUUGUCCCCUCCCCCAACGCCACAGAGGAGGACGAUGGCGUCGUCAUGUCUGUGGUCAUCACACCCAACAUGGACAAGAGCACGUUCCUCCUGGUGUUAGACGCCAAAACGUUCGAGGAGCUGGGACGAGCUGCGGUCCCCGUCAACAUCCCCUACGGCUUCCACGGGACAUUCAACGCCAAGGCGUAGACGUGUGAGGACGAAACGAGAGACGACUUUACCUCUGACCUCACAUGGACGGAGACGAGUCCUGGCGGAGGUUCAAAUCUGUAAAUAUUGUCUGUGUUGUUUUGUGUGAAUUUAGAGGUCAGGUAUGAGUGUACAGUUUGUUCGGACAUGUUAGCAGAAAUGAAAAAAAAUACUCGUGGUUAUUCAUAUGACUGGUGUGUUAUUAUUAUUAUUAUUAUUCUGCAGUGUUAAGAAUCUUUUGUAAAGACGUCCUGUUGUUAGGACGUCAUUUUUUUCUAUAAUUUAAAACAUCGUUUUCGAAUGUUUCAACACAAACCCCCAAAAUAUUCUCACUUUGAGCAGUUAUUGUCAUUAAAGCAGCGAUACUCAA